ensembl:lncRNA
UGGGGGGUUGUAAAGCAGAGGGGUGUUUGAUAGGGGUGGGGAGGUUGGGGGUGUCACUUGGUACAGGGGGAUCUGGGGAUGGAGUUUGGGUUUUUGUCCGAGCGGAGCUUUGCGGGGGUUUGGGAUACGUAGAGGGGAUUGGAAGGAUUUGGGUUUUUUAAUGGGGUAGGAGUCUGGGGGAAUUUGGAGUUCCUGCUUGUGAUAAGAGGUGAUUUGGGGGCUGAUUGGGAUAAAAUCUGGAGGGAUUUGGGGUUUCUAAUUGCAUGUGGGAGGGGCUGGGGGUAUUCAUUGAGAUUAGGGGCAUUCCAGGCUUUUAUUGGGAUGGGGGCCUGGCAGGAUGUCUGGGUUUCCUGUCUGCUAUGAACGGUGAUGCAGGGGUUCUUUGGGGUAGAGUUUAGGGGGAAUUGGACUUUCUACAUGGGAGUAUAUUUGGGGAUUUUGUCUAAUGAGUGCUUGGGGAGAUUUGGAGUUUUUACUGGGAUGUGUGUUUGGGGUGGGAUCUGGGCUUCCCACCUGCCAUAAGGGGUGAUUUAGGGGUUUCUUAGGAUAGAAUUUGGAGGGAAUUGAGUUUUCCAUCUUAACGUUAAUUUAGGGUAUUCAUUAGGAUGGAAGUUUGGGGGGUGGGGGAGGAUUUAGGAUUCUCACCUACCACAGGUGAUUUGGGGGGGUUGUAGAAUUUGAGGGUAGAGUUUGGGUUUUCAUCAGGAUAGGGGUUUGCAGGGUGCGGGAUUCUUAGUGGGUGGGAUUGGGGGCAUUCAUGAGGAUGAGAACUUUGGGCAAUUUGAGGGUUUUUUUUGAGAUGGGGUUCUGGGAGAACGUCUGCAUUCCCCACCUGCCAUAAGACAUGGACAGUGGUCCAUUGGUGGUUCUUUGGGGUAGACUGGGGGUUGGGUUUUCCAUCUAGAUGUGUGGGAAUUUGGGGGAUUUGGGAUUUUUACUGGGAUACAGGCUGGGGGAGAAUUUGGGGCUUCCCACCCACUGUAGGUGGCUGGAUGGAGAGUUUGUAAUGUUUGGGGAUGAGGUUUGUGUCUUCAUCAGAAUGGAGGGCUGUGGGUGUUGGGAUUCCUACUUUCAUGCGGGGGAUUUGGAGUAUUCAUCAGGAUAGGAGGAUUUAGAGUUUUUAUUGGAAUGGGGCUCGAGGAGGGAUUUGGGGUUACCAUUUACAUGACAGUGAAUUUGGGGGUUUUAUCUUGAUAGAGGAUUGUGGGGGAAGUUAGGGUUGUUCAUCUGCAUGGAGGAGAAUGUGGGGUUUUUCUGAUGGGUGAAUAUUUGCAUGUAGGGGUAUGGAAUUCCUACCGGCAUGGGACGAUUUGCCAUUUUUAUUAGGAUGUGAUUGGAUUUGGGACUUUCACCUGCAAGAAGUUAAAGUGUUGAUUUGAGGUUCUAGAUGAGGAUUUUAGGGAUGGAUUUGCAAUUCCCAGCUGCAUGACGGAGACUUUGGGGUUUCAGCAUGAAAGGCAAGGAGCAGCUAGGAGGAGUCUAAAAAUAAGCUCAGAACUUUGCACCAAAUCCUCCCCCUUGCACUGGCAGAUGAAGCUGAACCAUGAACCUUCCCAGCCCGGACCCAGAGUGAAGAUUAAUUUAAGGGGCAUUCAUCCAUUUAGUGGAAAUGAGUCAUUCUCAUCAGCAGUAAUGGGAAUUACAGAAGGGCUCUGGUUUCACAAAGAACCUGCUUAAACCUAAGAAAGCUGCAGAUGGGCGUUGAUGAUCUGUAUGGGGUUUAACUUUCCCUCUGGACCCUCCUGGUGUUCAGGACUAGGACAAGUCAGACUUCGCCCUCUUCCAGAGCAUUGCUUUUGGCAAGAGACUUUGUCAACAAGA